UCCCUGAUGGCUCAGUGAUAAAGAACCUGCCUGCAAAGCAAGAGACAGAAAGAGACUCGGGUUCGAUCCCUGACUGGGGAA
rnacentral:tRNA from 1 species